rfam:Moniliophthora roreri MCA 2997 sctg_0121_0002, whole genome shotgun sequence.
UCUCUUGUGCUCGGGCACGUACUAUCGCCAGUGAGGUCUUUACCGAGGCAUAGUCUUUUGCUGAUUGCAAAUUACACAUCCGAACCCGUCUGUUAGCUUCGGCUUUCAGCAAUUUUUGGACGCUCUUCGUUUGUCGAAG